GUCGGCUCAUCACAUCCUGGAGGGGGAGCACCUUCCAAGGGUCCGGCUGUUCGCCGGUUAAAGUGGUACGCGAGCUGGGUUCAGAACGUCGUGAGACAGUUCGGUUUAUAUCCGGCAUGGACGAUAGGAAUUUUGAGGAGAGCUGUCUCUAGUACGAGAGGACCGAGAUGGACGAACCGCUGGUGUAUCGAUUGUGGCCACCUGCUGCAUUGUCGAGUAGCUAUGUUCGGAACGGAUAAGCGCUGAAAGCAUAUUAAGCGCGAAGCCGACUUCAAGAUAAGAAUUCCCUAUGAACUCCCAGAAAGAUGAUCUGGUUGAUAGGCGCAAGGUAGAAGCGUGGUAACACGUGCAGCUGAAGCGUACUAAUAGAGUCAUUGCCUUUUUAUG
rnacentral:rRNA from 1 species